AGUGAACGCUGGCGGCAGGCCUAAUACAUGCAAGUCGAACGGCAGCACAGCAGAGCUUGCUCUGUGGGUGGCGAGUGGCGGACGGGUGAGGAAUACAUGGGAAUCUGCCCAGUCGUGGGGGAUAACGUAUGGAAACGUACGCUAAUACCGCAUGCGCCCUUUGGGGGAAAGCCGGGGACCUUCGGGCCUGGCGCGAUUGGAUGAGCCCAUGUUCGAUUAGCUAGUUGGCGGGGUAAAGGCCCACCAAGGCGACGAUCGAUAGCUGGUCUGAGAGGAUGAUCAGCCACACUCGGACUGAGACACGGCCCAGACUCCUACGGGAGGCAGCAGUAGGGAAUAUUGGACAAUGGGCGCAAGCCUGAUCCAGCCAUGCCGCGUGAGUGAAGAAGGCCCUCGGGUUGUAAAGCUCUUUUGUCCGGAAAGAAAAGCAUUCGGUUAAUACCCGGGUGUUCUGACGGUACCGGAAGAAUAAGCACCGGCUAACUUCGUG
rnacentral:rRNA from 1 species